GAGUUUGAUCAUGGCUCAGGACGAACGCUGGCGGCAGGCUUAACACAUGCAAGUCGAGCGCCCUGCUUGCAGGGAGCGGCAGACGGGUGAGUAACGCGUGGGAACGUGCCCUUCGGUACGGAAUAGCCCCGGGAAACUGGGUGUAAUACCGUAUACGACCUCCGGGUGAAAGAUUUAUCGCCGAAGGAUCGGCCCGCGUUAGAUUAGCUAGGUGGUGGGGUAAAGGCCUACCAUGGCGACGAUCUAUAGCUGGUUUGAGAGGACGACCAGCCACACUGGGACUGAGACACGGCCCAGACUCCUACGGGAGGCAGCAGUGGGGAAUAUUGGACAAUGGGCGCAAGCCUGAUCCAGCCAUGCCGCGUGGAUGAAGAAGGCCCUAGGGUUGUAAAAUCCUUUCGCUAGGGAAGAUAAUGACGGUACCUAGUAAAGAAGCCCCGGCUAAUUUCGUGCCAGCAGCCGCGGUAAUACGAAAGGGGCUAGCGUUGUUCGGAAUUACUGGGCGUAAAGCGCGCGUAGGCGGCCUGCCAAGUUAGGGGUGAAAUCCCGGAGCUCAACUCCGGAACUGCCUCUAAAACUGGUAAGCUUGAGGAUGUG
rnacentral:rRNA from 1 species